rnacentral:rRNA from 1 species
AGUGAACGCUGGCGGUAGGCCUAACACAUGCAAGUCGAACGGCAGCACAGUGAGAGCUUGCUCUUACGGGUGGUGAGUGGCGGACGGGUGAGGAAUACAUCGGAAUCUACUUUUUCGUGGGGGAUAACGUAGGGAAACUUACGCUAAUACCGCAUACGACCUACGGGUGAAAGCAGGGGAUCUUCGGACCUUGCGCGAUUGAAUGAGCCGAUGUCGGAUUAGCUAGUUGGCGGGGUAAAGGCCCACCAAGGCGACGAUCCGUAGCUGGUCUGAGAGGAUGAUCAGCCACACUGGAACUGAGACACGGUCCAGACUCCUACGGGAGGCAGCAGUGGGGAAUAUUGGACAAUGGGCGCAAGCCUGAUCCAGCCAUACCGCGUGGGUGAAGAAGGCCUUCGGGUUGUAAAGCCCUUUUGUUGGGAAAGAAAAGCAGCAGGUUAAUACCCCGCUGUUCUGACGGUACCCAAAGAAUAAGCACCGGCUAACUUCGUG